ACCGCGGCUGCAAGCUGUGUUUACUCGCAUCAUUCAAACAAGACGCGCUGGCUCGGGAGCUACAACUACAACACAAUGAACAUAUUUUACCGUGAUUAAAUUGUAAUACACGUUUCGAAAUGAUGCAGAAGUAACAACAUACUGAUACCGGAUAGCUUUCAGGAACACUACACAGAGAAAGGAUGUUUCCCCGGGCCCACAGUGACCCAUCAAUGCCGACCCUGGGCUUUGAUCAACUGGAUUCUCUGGGCCUGCAUGCUCCUCUACCCCCUCGGUCUGCUUCUGGUUCAACUGGUCAGCUCUGGAUCCAUACUGACCAUUUUAGUCUCUAUAACCGUCGCCUGUGCAGCUUCCCUGGGAGUUCGCUGGAUGAUUGGCCAGACUGAGACUAAAAGAGGCUCAAGCUAUGGGAAUAAGGAGGUUCCUUCAAAGAACAACUAAAGACUCCUGGCGUGAUCUGCGCUGCUUCUUUGCACAGCUCAUCGGAGUGUUUGAACAACGCUUCGAAAGGACAAGUCCAACAAAUGCAAACCUGCCCGAAGGCACAAUGAGGUCAGGUCAGGAUUCAAAGCUUUGCUGCUGAAGCUCAAGAUCAUGAAACUGGACCCGGGGGGGCGAGCUUCUUUUGGUAAACUUGGUGAUAGGAAUAUGAGGCGAGAACACAGUCACAAGCAGGAAACUCAAACUGUAAUUUUGAUUAAACCAAGAAUGGAAUGGACUACUCUCUUUGAUAGUAAUUUAAAGCAGAAAUCACAUUUUAAUGUUAGAACAUUUUGACAUUUCAAUUUUUCUAAAAACACAUUGCUUUAUUAAAAGGGUUCUUACG